rnacentral:rRNA from 1 species
UACGUAGGGGGCAAGCGUUGUCCGGAAUCAUUGGGCGUAAAGAGCGUGUAGGCGGUCCGGUCAGUCGGUUGUGAAAGUCAAGGGCUCAACCCUUGAAUGCCGGCCGAUACUGCCGGGCUAGAGUCCGGAAGAGGUGAGUGGAAUUCCUGGUGUAGCGGUGAAAUGCGCAGAUAUCAGGAGGAACACCGAUAGCGAAGGCAGCUCACUGGGACGGUACUGACGCUGAGACGCGAAAGCGUGGGGAGCAAACAGG